rnacentral:rRNA from 1 species
CCUACGGGCGGCAGCAGUGGGGAAUAUUGGACAAUGGGGGGAACCCUGAUCCAGCCAUGCCGCGUGUGUGAAGAAGGCCCUCGGGUUGUAAAGCACUUUCAGUGAGGAAGAACGCCUGGUGGUUAAUACCCAUCAGGAAAGACAUCACUCACAGAAGAAGCACCGGCUAACUCCGUGCCAGCAGCCGCGGUAAUACGGAGGGUGCGAGCGUUAAUCGGAAUUACUGGGCGUAAAGCGCGCGUAGGUGGCUUGAUAAGCCGGUUGUGAAAGCCCCGGGCUCAACCUGGGAACGGCAUCCGGAACUGUCAAGCUAGAGUGCAGGAGAGGAAGGUGGAAUUCCCGGUGUAGCGGUGAAAUGCGUAGAGAUCGGGAGGAAUACCAGUGGCGAAGGCGGCCUUCUGGACUGACACUGACACUGAGGUGCGAAAGCGUGGGUAGCAAACAGGAUUAGAUACCCUUGUAGUC